GAAAGGAAAGGAAAGGAAAGGAAAGGAAAGGAAGAAAGAAUGAAAGAAGGAAAGAAAGAAAAAAAAUAGAAAGAAAAAGAGGGAGGAGAAAGGAAUUUGGAGUAAUAAAAUUCUUAAUCACUGACACUGAUAUUUGACCUUAAAGAACAUCUAAUGAUCCUCUCUCAUUUUAGCACUGAGUUGAGGUGACUAAUUCAAGGUCACACUGCUCGUUAAUGGAAGGGUGGAAGUAGCAAUGCAGUCUGCUAAUUCCUGUCACAAUGUCACUUUUCCCUCUCUCUCCCUCUCCCCCUCCCUCUCCCUAAGCCUGUGUAUGAAUGAGUGGGUGCAUGCGUGUGUGUAUGUGUGUGUGUGUCUAUGUGUGUGCACACACAGUGAUAUACAUGGAGAAUGCUUUGGAAGCUUCUUUAUAACAACAGACGGCUGAUACAUUAUAAAUCUUUUCAUGUCGAUGGAUGCUAGAUGAAUUCAAAGCGUAACAUUAGGAAUUUCUGGCCGAUUUGAAUGGAGAAAGUCAGAGAAUCCAAUGAUAUGUUAGGUAGCUUCUUUGAGACAGCCUGGGAUCUUCCCUUGGAGCCGGAUUUCCUAAAAAGAAAGGAAGGAUAGCUCUGAGUGAUGUUCCUUACUUCUGGCAGGCUGUGGAGGCUGAGAUUAGGGGAGCAGCCUUUUCCCAGCGGCAGUGAUAUGCACGCCCGGGAGCUGAACAAAAUCGUCCAUGGCUUUCUUUUGCUGAAUCACAGGCUUUCUUUGGCUGAAUUUACUGGGAAUCAAUUUCUUCUUGUUUUUUUUUUUUUUUUUUUUUUUUUCCUCUUCUCCAGUCCCCUCCCUUUGUUAACACAACCCCUGUUUUACAGAUUGCCUGGAGAGGAUCUCUUGCUACUUCAUUCUUCUUGGGAUCUACCUAUUCAAGAGGGGAAAUAUAUAUAUAUAUGUAUAUAUAUACACAUAUAUACAUACAUACAUACAUACAUACAUACAUAUAUAUGUGUAUACACACACACACACACACACACAUUUUGGGGGGAUGUUACUUGAAAAUUAAAAAGCCAGUGUUUCUUUGCGAAAAAUAAAGAGAUUUCAUACUGAAGGUGCCACAAAUUAGAAACAUGGGGCUUUGAAGGUCUGUGAAAAUACUAAGAAAGCAUUUGAGAAAAUAAGGACUUUGAAUAAAUUUCCCCUUGGAAAUUGAUCUUGUUGGUUUCUACUGGAGUCAUUUGUCUUGGAAAUCCAAUUCCUCAGCGCAUAAUCUCAGAGCCGUACUGAGUUUUGAUGACAGGAUUAGAAACACUCACUCACCUCCACCCUGAUCUUCGCAGGCAAACCAUUAUGGCACCAGCAGCAGGAAGCUGAUGCCAGGAGCUGCUGCGAAGCAUUUGUUCACACAGGGAGCUCGGUAACUGGCCAGAAGACGGAGGCUUAUGCAUAUUGAUAUCUAAAUUUCCUGCAACGUUUUACAAGUUUUGAAUUCGACAUUUGGAAGGUUCCUGUCAGUUUUCCAGACAAUUUGCAAAAUGCUGAACAGGCUCACAAGGGGUUCUUCUGGCGGACUUCUCAGGUGAGGCUGGGUCCAGGUGGCCUUGAGAUCCACCAUAAGCCUGUCUUCUCUAGGAAGCGACAGUCUCUGCAAAGAGAGAUGUAUAGUGGGCACAGUGGGUGCUGAACUUCAAGUCAGAAACCCCUUUUUUACCCACCAACAUAAAACUGUAUGCAUAGUAAGAGCCCACUUAAAAAAAAAGUACACAGAUAUUUAUAUCUGUCAACCAUGAAUUUGGAAGAAAAUUGUAAGAUAUAAAAAUCAAUCAAAUCAAAUCAAUCAAAAGUAUUGAUUUUGUCUGUGUAGUGAGAUUAUAGGUGAUCUUUUCCUUUUAUUGCAAAGGCAGAGUGCUUUUAUAUUUGUAAAGUAGCCUUUGGUAUUUUCUUUUUAGGAUUUUUUUGGUGUUUUCUGAUUUUUUUGUUUUUGCAACAAACAUGAAUUACCUUUGUAAUGAGAAAAUAUCUAAGAAUGCAUAAAAAUGUAUGAAAUAUUUGACAUGCAAAUAAGCACUAGAUUUGGACAGGCUCCAAAAUGAGAUUCUUGUCUCUACAAAUCGCACUGGAAUCACAUUUACUCAGGAAAUCUACUGUGUGUGCCAUUAAGGCCAGCCCAAGGAGAAGCUGUAUAAAAACCAGAUUUACCAUUUUGUCCGUAGUGCUGCUGAUGGGGGUGUCUGAGGCCCAUACUUUUAUAUCUUGCUUCAGCUGGUACAUUCAAUUGUUCAAACUGAACAUUCUGAAGAUGUACAUGUCUCAGUGUACGCUAAUCAGAUAUUAAUAAAAAAGAAAUAAAAAUAAAAGAAUCAAU